rnacentral:rRNA from 1 species
GAUGAACGCUGGCGGCGUGCCUAAUACAUGCCAGUCGAGCGAACGGACGAGAAGCUUGCUUCUCUGAUGUUAGCGGCGGACGGGUGAGUAACACGUGGAUAACCUACCUAUAAGACUGGGAUAACUUCGGGAAACCGGAGCUAAUACCGGAUGAUAUUUUGAACCGCAUGGUUCAAAAGUGAAAGACGGUCUUGCUGUCACUUAUAGAUGGAUCCGCGCUGCAUUAGCUAGUUGGUAAGGUAACGGCUUACCAAGGCAACGAUGCAUAGCCGACCUGAGAGGGUGAUCGGCCACACUGGAACUGAGACACGGUCCAGACUCCUACGGGAGGCAGCAGUAGGGAAUCUUCCGCAAUGGGCGAAAGCCUGGCGGAGCAACGCCGCGUGAGUGAUGAAGGUCUUCGGAUCGUAAAACUCUGUUAUUAGGGAAGAACAUAUGUGUAAGUAACUGUGCACAUCUUGACGGUACCUAAUCAGAAAGCCACGGCUAACUACGUG